CUACUGCUACAGCUGCUGCUGCUACAGCUGCUGCUGCUACAGCUGCUGCUGCUGCUGCUGCUGCUGCUGCUGCUGCUGCUG